CACACGGGAUUUCAGCAAGCUUUUCCAUUCCGUCUGUUGGUCCUCUUGAGCGUGGGCUUGUGGGUGAGCUGCAUCUUUGCAACGUCACAUCUCGUGUGGAAGGUCUCUAGAUAUGCUGCUGAUAGACUCUACUUCUGUGAGAUCAACUCGGUCUAUUGUUGGUACUCUCUUUAUCUGCUGGUUUAUCUCAGCUUCAACUCUGCAGCUGAAUGCUGUUGAAAUUGCUCCUGAAAUAGAGGAAGCAAACAAUGAGAAGUGUUCCUGUAGUGGAGUUUGUAUUGGGCUACCAGGACGCGACGGUAAGUGUGCUGACUACAAUCACCUAGAAUAUGUCACAUAAUCUUAAAUCUUUCUGAUAUUAUGUGCUAGGACGAGAUGGGCAACCUGGUCUUAAUGGGCGUGACGGUGCACCCGGACCAUCUGGACCUCCAGGAAGUGGAAACUCCAGUGUAGCAGGACCGAAAGGUGAAAAGGGAGAAACUGGAAAGAUGGGGAUACAGGGCCAGAAAGGCGAGUAG